GCUCCCGGUUUAUAGAUUUUGAGAAGAAGAUGAAUGGCUCCCCCUCUAGUACAAACCGGGAGUGGUAUGGUCUGCUCGGGAGCAUAAUGCGCGUGCGUGCGAGGAAUUAUGAGUUAAUAUAUGGGAGGGGGAAAAGGAGUCCUGAGAAAAGCUCUUCGGGUAGGGUUUGUGACUAGUGUACACGCGCGAGAGUCGGAGGUUAGCCGUGUGGCGGAAAGAGCGGGAAAAACCGUUGCGCGACUUUGUGUGUGGGAAAAGCUUCGUUGAAGCGCAUGCGCAGUACCCGAAUUAUCUGUGAGAUAAUUAACAAACCAUGUGCCAGAAGCAACAUCUGUCUUGCAAAGAUGGUAAUGAGGACCACUCUAGGGAGCCGAAUAACAACAAUUCAGAAGGAAAGGUUCCGCACAGGAGGAUGAAGGAGGAGCACAGGAAAUGACAGUGCCAAAGUGACCCAUCCAAAGCUGAGAC